rnacentral:rRNA from 1 species
AGCGAACGCUGGCGGCAGGCCUAACACAUGCAAGUCGAACGAACCUUUCGGGGUUAGUGGCGGACGGGUGAGUAACACGUGGGAACGUGCCUUUAGGUUCGGAAUAACUCAGGGAAACUGUGGCUAAUACCGAUUUGGCCCUUCGGGGGAAAGAUUUAUCGCCUUUAGAGCGGCCCGCGUCUGAUUAGCUAGUUGGUUGAGGUAAUGGCUCACCAAGGCGACGAUCAGUAGCUGGUCUGAGAGGAUGAUCAGCCACAUUGGGACUGAGACACGGCCCAAACUCCUACGGGAGGCAGCAGUGGGGAAUCUUGCGCAAUGGGCGAAAGCCUGACGCAGCCAUGCCGCGUGAAUGAUGAAGGUCUUAGGAUUGUAAAAUUCUUUCACCGGGGACGAUAAUGACGGUACCCGGAGAAGAAGCCCCGGCUAACUUCGUG